rnacentral:rRNA from 1 species
UCAAGCGACUAAGUGCAUGUGGUGGAUGCCUUGGCGAUCACAGGCGAUGAAGGACGCGGCAGUCUGCGAAAAGCCCCGGGGAGCUGACAACGAGCUUUGAUCCGGGGAUCUCCGAAUGAGGGAACUCCAAGCUUUAGCUUGAUCCAUGCGUGAAUACAUAGCGCAUGGAGGCGAACGCGGCGAACUGAAACAUCUCAGUAGCUGCAGGAAAAGAAAUCAACCGAGAUUCCGGAAGUAGCGGCGAGCGAAACCGGAACAGCCUGAAUUCGAUAUUGAGAAGAACACUGGAAGAGUCUGGAAAGGCUCGCCAUAGUGGGUGAUAGCCCCGUACGGGACGUUCAUCUCAAGGUACUGAGGAUUCGAAAAGUAGGUCGGGGCACGUGAAACCCUGGCUGAACAUGGGGGGACCAUCCUCCAAGGCUAAAUACUCGUGAUCGACCGAUAGCGUACUAGUACUGUGAAGGAAAGGUUAAAAGAACCCCGGGAGGGGAGUGAAAUAGAUUCUGAAACCGCAUGCAUACAAACAGUAGGAGCCCUUCGGGGUGACUGCGUACCUUUUGCAUAAUGGGUCAGCGACUUAUGUUAUGUGGCAAGCCUAACCGACUAGGGGAGGCGCAGCGAAAGCGAGUCCGAACAGGGCGAUUCAGUCGCAUGGCAUAGACCCGAAACCAGAUGAGCUAACCAUGGCCAGGCUGAAGGUGUGGUAACACACACUGGAGGGCCGAACCUACUGGUGUUGCAAAACCAGAGGAUGAGCUGUGGUUAGGGGUGAAAGGCUUAACAAAUCUGGAGAUAGCUGGUUCUCCCCGAAAACUAUUGAGGUAGUGCCUUGCGCAUGAGCUUCUGGGGGUAGAGCACUGUUAUAGCUAGGGGGACAUGGCGUCUUACCAAACUAUGGCAAACUCCGAAUACCAGAAAGCUUCGCGCAGGAGACAGAGCACCGGGUGCUAACGUCCGGACUCAAAAGGGAAUCAACCCAGACCGCCAGCUAAGGUCCCUAAUAUCAGCUAAGUGGAAAACGAAGUGGAAAGGCUAAAACAGUCAGGAAGUUGGCUUAGAAGCAGCCAUCCUUCAAAGAAAGCGUAAUAGCUCACUGAUCGAGUCCUUCCGCGCGGAAGAUGUAACGGGGCUAAGUUGAUAACCGAAGCUGCGGAUUCAUACUUUGAGUAUGAGUGGUAGGGGAGCGUUCUGUAAGCCUGCGAAGGUGGAUCGUAAGGUCUGCUGGAGGUAUCAGAAGUGCGAAUGCUGACAUGAGUAACGAUAAAGCGGGUGAAAAGCCCGCUCGCCGCAAACCCAAGGUUUCCUGCUCUACGUUAAUCGGAGCAGGGUGAGUCGGUUCCUAAGGCCAGGCUGAGAAGCGUAGCUGAUGGAAAUCAGGUUAAUAUUCCUGAACCGGCGUUGAAUGCGAUGGGGUGACGGAGCAGCCAGAGUGGACCGGGUGUUGGAUGUCCCGGCUUCCGAGCGAUGGGUGCCUGCAGGCAAAUCCGCAGGCGUAUACCCAGGACGAAGGAUCGGGUCUUCUUUUGAAGACGAAGCCACUGGAAGCGCUUCCAGGAAAAACCUCUAAGCUUCAGUUCAACGGCGACCGUACCGUAAACCGACACAGGUGGGUGAGCUGAAUAUGCUCAGGCGCUUGAGAGAACUCGGGAGAAGGAACUCGGCAAAUUGACACCGUAACUUCGGAAGAAGGUGUGCCUUUGUAGCUUGAUGGGAGAGAAACCCAAAGGGUGAAGAGGUCUCAGAGAAUCGGUGGCUGUAACUGUUUACUAAAAACACAGCGCUCUGCAAAGAUGAAAGUCGACGUAUAGGGCGUGAUGCCUGCCCGGUGCUGGAAGAUUAAUUGAUGGGGUGCAAGCUCCUGAUCGAAGUCCCAGUAAACGGCGGCCGUAACUAUAACGGUCCUAAGGUAGCGAAAUUCCUUGUC